AUACGGAGGGUGCGAGCGUUGUUCGGAAUUACUGGGCGUAAAGCGGGUGUAGGCGGUGGAUCAAGUCAGAUGUGAAAGCCCUCGGCUCAACCGAGGAAGUGCAUCUGAAACUGGUUCACUAGAGUACGGGAGAGGAGAGUGGAAUUCCCAGUGUAGAGGUGAAAUUCGUAGAUAUUGGGAGGAACACCGGUGGCGAAGGCGGCUCUCUGGAACGAUACUGACACUGAGACCCGAAAGCGUGGGGAGCAAACAGGAUUAGAAACCCCUGUAGUCC
rnacentral:rRNA from 1 species